rnacentral:lncRNA from 1 species
AGCCGCCGCCGCGGCGCCUCCAUGUCCGCGCGCCAGGCCCGCCCCCUCCGCCGCCGGCCCGAGCCCGCCCGACCCUCUUUCAAUUUUACCUCAGGAUUUGGCGCCAAAGCGGCCUCGAAGCGGGUCCCGUGUCUGCGGCGGGCGGCCCCCGGCGCGGAGGGCAGGGCGCGGGGAGCCCGGGCUCCCGGUGUCGGCGGAUGGCGGGAGCCCGGGGGCCGCGGGCUCGCGGGGCAGCGGGCGAGAGACGAGACGCCGAGAAUAUGCUUUUUGUCUAAUGAUGUUAGAUAAAAAGCAAAUUUGGAGCAGUUUUCUUAUUCGAGUUCAAAAUGGUUCAUAAAGCAGCGAAGACAACUCAAAACAUCAGUAACACAUUUGGCCCAGGAACUGCUAACAAACAUACAGUGCAGUGGUGGCUUAAGAAGUUUUGCAAGGAAGAGAGCCUUGAAGAUGAGGAACGUGAUAUGGGCCAUGGGAAGUUGACAACGACCAAUUGAGAGCAAUCAUUGAACUACAUGAAAAAUUACAGAAGAACUCAGCGUUGACUAUUCUACGGUCAUUAGGGUCGUUCAGCAUUCGAAGCAAAUUGGAAAGGUGAAAAAGCUUGAUAAGUGGGUGCCUCAUGAGCUGAGCGGAAAUCAAAACUAUCGUUUUGAAGUGUAGUCUUCUUUUAUGCUACGCAACAACAAACCAUUUCUCAAUCGGAUUGUGACAUGUAAUGAAAAGUGAAUUUUAUACAACAACCAGCUCAGUGGUUGGACCAAGAGGCAGCUCCAAAGCAGUUCCCAAAGCCAAACUUGCACCAAAAAAAAGGUCAUGGUCACUGUUCGGUGGUCUGCUGCCCAUCUGAUCCACUACAGUUUUCUGAAUCCUGGUGAAACCAUUACAUCUGAGAAGUAUGCUCAGCAAAUUGGUAAGAUGCACCGAAAACUGCAAUACCUGCUGCCUGCAUUGGUCAACAGAAAGGGCCCAAUUCUUCUCCACGACAACACCUGACUGCGUGUCGCACAACCAGUGCUUCAAAAGUUGAAGGAAUUGGGCUACAAAGUUUUGCCUCAUCCACCAUAUUCACCUGACCUUUCGCCAACUGACUACCACUUCUGCUAGCAUCUUGACAACUUUUUGCAGGGAAAACACUUCAGCAUGGUGCAGAAAAUGCUUUCCAAGAGUUCGUCAAAUCCUGAAGCACGGAUUUUUAUGCUACAGGAAUAAACAAACAUUUCUCAUUGGCAAAAAUGUGUUGAUUGUAAUGGUUCCUGUUUUGAUUAAUAGAAUAUGUUUUAGCGUAGUUACAAUGAUUUAAAAUUCGCAGUCUGGAAAUUUAAUUUUUGCAUCAACCUAAUAUUUCUAUGGUAAAUCCUUGCAAACAUGGAAACAAUGCAUUUGGCCCAGUGCUUUGUGGUUGUGUACUCUUUUUCUUUGUUUUUUUAAUAGAUGGCAUUGGCCGGGCAUGGUGGCUCAUGCCUGUAAUCCCAGCAUUUUGGGAAGGUGAGGUGGGUGGAUCACCUGAGGUCAGGAGUUCAAGACCAGCCUGACUAACAUGGUAAAACCCCAUCUCUACUAAAAAUACAAAAAAAUUAGCUAGGCGGGGUGGCGGGCAUCUAAUUCCAGCUACUUCAUGAGGCUGCGACAGGAGAAUCAUUUGAACUCGGGAGGCAGAGGUUGCAGUGAGCCGAGAUCACACCAUUGCACUCCAGCCUGGGCGAUGAGCGAAACUGUCUCAAAAAAAAAAAAAGUUGGGGUCUCGCUGUGUUGACCAGGCUGGUCUCGAACUCCUGGCCUCAAGUGAUCCUCCCAUCUUGGCCUCCCAAAGUGUUAGGAUUACAGGCGUGAGCCACCACACCCUGCCUGGUUGUGUACUCUUUUAAAUACUAAGUUUUUAAUGUUAAAUGCUGCUUUUAGAUACACUGUAAAAAUACACCUAUCAAUGAGUUUUUUUAUUAAAAACAUUGCAAUUGUACUAGACUUUAAAUACUAAGCAAUA